GGUGGUUCAGUGAUAGAGCGCAUGCCUUGCAUGCAUGAGGCCCUGGGUUCCAUUCCUCAGCACCA
rnacentral:tRNA from 1 species